rnacentral:tRNA from 1 species
CAGUGCUUAUUUUGAUCAGUUUAAAAUAGUGGCUUUGGUCGUCUUGACUAAUUCAUCAAUGA